rnacentral:lncRNA from 1 species
GAGAGGAAGUACUGGGGAAUGAAAUGGAGCAAAUUAUAUUUCGUGAAUGUAUGAUUAUGUCAAAAUGAAUCCUAAUAUAAUGUAUAACUCUAAUGCACUAAUAAAAACAUUUUUAAAAAGAAAUAGUUCAAGCAGAAAGGGUUAAAUUAUUAUAAAUUCAGUCAUCUUGAAAAUGUAUGCAAUGCUAAAUUCUAAGACAGUUCUACAUAAAUAAUGAAGAAACAGUGGCAUAUCAUAGUUUAAAAGGUAGACACAGGUGCUGGUCUGCCUGGACAAAUCCCAGUCAUCUCACUCACAAUCUGUGCGACCCUGGGCAACUCAAUCUCUCUGAUCCUCAGUAUGAGAUUGACAAAUGCAUUUUUUCUUAUUGUAUGUUUUAAAAAAGAUUAAUAAAUGAUCUGUGAUACCUGCAAUAGAAAAAAAUUGUCAGAUAUUGAUCUUAUUAAAGUGCUUAUGUUUUCAACACUUUUUCCUUCAAAAGUAGCAUUGAGUCUCUUAGGUUUGACAAAUUAAGGAGUUUUGAAAAAAUUGCCACUCUGAUUCUGAAUUGAGUGUUCCUGGGUGUUUAUGGAGAGAGACUGGGGCAGGAAAGAGCUCAAUAAAACUGGUGGUUUUGAUGUGUUAUUUUGAGAUUGUCUUAUUCUAACUGACUGGGAAGCAAAAUUGGGUAGAGGCAAAACACCCCAACAGAGUUUUGAGGGGGUCCUUGACAGAGAGAGCAGGCAGUGAG